rnacentral:lncRNA from 1 species
GGCUUUUCCACUGGGGGAUUAGGAGGCUAAUCCACAACCAUGUGAUUACAGGAAGAUGUGUGAGGAAAGCAACAAGGAUACUAUUCUAUAAGGUCACUGGGCCCAAACAAGGAAUCCAUAUGUUUCCAUUUCUCUAAUGGGCAGAGGAGAAAAACAGAGAAAGAGGCCCAGAUAUGCACCUGCCUAAGCCGCCAAGCAGAAGUAACCUAUGAACACAAAAAAAGCAGCUCUCGAACAGUUCCAUCUGCGUUCAAUUCCAUCUUCGUUUUAUGGAACGAAAUCUUUAAAAAGGAGGGAGGAAGGGAGGGACAGGGAGAGAAGGGAGAAAGAGAGAGAGGACAAUUUACAAGAACCGUGGUAUAAAUCCUGCCACAGUGCCAAUUGCUAGAAGCACUGGACCCUGGGCAGGGGAAGAAAUCCAUUCACUCAUGGCCCCUGGAAAAUAGUCCUGCAGGCAGGCUCAUAGCUCGCGCCCCGAGGGAGUCACACCUCUGGCUGACUGAUGGCAGGAAUGGCCGGGGAUUGAUUGCUUCUCUGCCCAAGCUCCAUUAUGGCGUCCUCAUUGCAGCUCGGCUAAAUUCCAUCCUGUAGAGGCUCUCUGGGACCCUUGGCGUGAGAGACGCAGGAGAAGGUGUGUGCCGGCUCCCUGCCUGCGACCUUCCCAGAGGCAGAUGCGUGGGGGUCACUGUUGUGCUUCAAGGCCUGCCAGUCUCUGCUGAGAACGUGGACGCCUGUGACCUAGUCCCUCCUCCAUCCCCAGCCCAGCCUCCUGCUCCUCCUCCGUGUCUAGAGUCACAGCUGGGCCACUGGGAAGCUCCCUCCACUGACCUCUCUCCACCUGGCGGUGAUGUGGGGCUCUUCUGUAGUCCUGUCAGCGCCUUGUACUGUCAUUUUCUCAGCCCCUCGCGCUUGGUCACCAUUGCUCUUCCUCUGUGGGGCGGGGCUCCAAGACCUUUCCCUUCU